UGUCAGGGAGAAGCAAACGGGAGAAGAUUUAAGAACAGAAACCAGCACUUAUAGAGAGCCUAAAGAGAUCAUUAGCAGCCUGUCGUCUGACAGCGAGUCAGAGGCAGGGAGGGAGGAGGAUGAGCCUGGAACAAGUCAUUCUGUACACAGAGGAAGUCAGGGGCGGGGUUUCUGCAGACUUGCAUGCUGGGUAAAAAAAAGGAAAAAGAGAUCAGACGCAGCAACUGUGACCAAAGGAUCGGACGUUGAUUGAAACACUGGAGAUGUACUUUUGAACUUUGUCAAUAAAUCAAAUAGAUGGGAACUGGCCAUGAGCCCAGAGUUUUAUCUAUGCCGGCUUGACAGCAUAAAGCCUCUGACAAGUACCUUUCAAAAAGAAUAUUCCAUCAAGAACAUCCCAAUUUCAACAAGUGAGUGUGGAUGUAGCUUCUCUCAGAUGAAUUUAAUACUGAUUGCAACAAGAGCAUUUAAACAUUGUAGCCAACGUAAUGCUUAUAAAAUUGGUAGGCCUGCCUUUGAGUUUGUUUAAGCCUUCAGUGUAUAUAAAUUCAUGGUUUUUGAAAGGACAAUAUCUGGCGACUGACGCCAACAGCAAGCAGAGGAAUUGGGAAGAUGUUAGUGCACACAACCUCAUGCCAAUGUGGAAGUUACUGUGAGCUGUCGGCUGUUUAAUAUGAGGUAAUGCAUGUUCUUUGUACUUUUGCCCAUUUACUAUAUGUAUUUUCCCCGAUUUGAACUAUAAAAUGGUGAUUUUCUUGAGUCAAAAUGAGAGUACCCCUAAACAUUUUUAUUAUUAUUAUAGGGGGGAAAGCACUGCUUAGCAGUAAGUUAGCAAUAAUUGAAUAAAAGGGGAGGGAUCCUCUUGUAGAUCAGUAAGUGUUUAAGGAACUGGGAGCAAAGAAUAAAAACAAAUGGACUUUCAGGGUCUCUUCCACCUCUACAAUUCUAUGAUUCUCACAAUGGAAGGAAGUAAAAAGUGGAAUCCCCAGUUAUCAAUUUGGGGCCAUGUUGGCUUUGUAUUAGAAGUCGUACACCUCUGAAACACCAGUUGCUGGGAAGCAUAAAUUGGAAAAGUGAAGUUGUGCUUAAGUCCUGCUUAUGAGCUUCUCGUGGGCAUCUAUCCAGUAGAUUCACUUUUAUCAACAGGAUACUGGGCCUUUGUAUCUGAUCCAGCAGUAGUCUUCCUGCUUUCUUAAAAAUUCAAGAAUUCCAAAAGGAAACCAAAAACUGCUAUGAAAAACCUUAAUAAUUAAGAAAGGUACUUGCUUUUGUAAUGUUUGGUUUUGAAUGGAUCUUUGCGUAGCCUAUGCAAAAUGGCAACCAUGUUUUUUUAAUCUAUUAAUGAGCAAAGGAUAACCAGAUAAAACAAAGAGCCCAGUGAAGAAAAAUAAUCACUGAGGGGCCUAUGAGGACUGUAGUGCAUUUUGUUUGCUUUUACCUUCAAAGGUCAUUACUGAACCAGUUUGAGGUACAAUCUUUAUGCUUAUCAAAGAAUACAAAGUAUUAAUGGCGCAACCUCCCCUCCCGAAAAAAUGCCGCAAUCUUGUAAAUAAGAAAUGAUGUAGGUGAAUGACUUGCUGAUGAUGAUUAAUGACCCACUCAAUCUUUAUAUAUGUGAGAAGCAGGAAAGAGUCAUGACUGUUGACAAAAUGCAUUACUGGGUCUUGAGCUACAUUCUGCAUCAUGAGAAAUGAAGCCAUCUAACUUAGGCCAAAUGUCACAAGUGUACGUGUUAUUCAUUCAUUCAUUCAUUCAUUCAUUGAAUGAAUGAAUGAUGACGAGUUGCUGGUGCUGCCCAGGAAUCC